GACGAACGCUGGCGGCGUGCUUAACACAUGCAAGUCGUACGGUAAGGCCCUUUCGGGGGUACACGAGUGGCGAACGGGUGAGUAACACGUGAGUAACCUGCCCACAACUUUGGGAUAACGCUAGGAAACUGGUGCUAAUACUGGAUAUGUGCUCCUGCUGCAUGGUGGGGGUUGGAAAGCUCCGGCGGUUGUGGAUGGACUCGCGGCCUAUCAGCUUGUUGGUGGGGUAGUGGCCUACCAAGGCGGCGACGGGUAGCCGGCCUGAGAGGGUGACCGGCCACAUUGGGACUGAGAUACGGCCCAGACGCCUACGGGAGGCAGCAGGGGGGAGUAUUGCACAAUGGGCGCAAGCCUGAUGCAGCAACGCCGCGUGCGGGAUGACGGCCUUCGGGUUGUAAACCGCUUUCAGCAGGGACGAAGCUUUUUGUGACGGUACCUGCAGAAGAAGCACCGGCUAACUACGUG
rnacentral:rRNA from 1 species